CCCUCAGGAUAGCUGACAUUGAUAAUGUACUAAUUUUAUAACGUAAAGCGCAUGAUUAGAAGUAUCUGGGUUGAAAUAAUUUAGACUGAUUCUCAAACUUUGAAGUCGUAAGAAUUAAUAGUACCAUUUUGAUCUAUACUAUUAAUUAAAUGGAACAAUGUUUAGUGGGCCAUUUUGGUAAGCAGAACUGGCGAUUCGGGAUGAACCGAAAGUUAAGUUAAAGUGUCGAAAUAUAAGCUAAUUUAGAUAUCAUAAAAGGUGUUGAUUUAUAUAGACAGCAGGACGGUGGUCAUGGAAGUCGAUAUCCGCUAAGAAGUGUGUAACAACAUACCUGCCAAAUGAAUUGGCCCUGAAAAUCGAUGACGCUCAAGCUUAAUACUUAAACUUAACCGUUAUUGCGAAUUAAUUAGCUUUAACGAGUAGGAGAAC
rnacentral:rRNA from 1 species